AGGAAGGUGGGGAUGACGUCAAAUCAUCAUGCCCCUUAUGGACCUGGGCUACACACGUGCUACAAUGGGCGGUACAAAGGGUCGCGAACCCGCGAGGGGGGAGCCAAUCCCAAAAAGCCGCUCUCAGUUCGGAUUGCAGGCUGCAACUCGCCUGCAUGAAGCCGGAAUCGCUAGUAAUCGCGGAUCAGCACGCCGCGGUGAAUACGUUCCCGGGCCUU
rnacentral:rRNA from 1 species